rnacentral:rRNA from 1 species
UACAGAGGAUGCAAGCGUUAUCCGGAAUGAUUGGGCGUAAAGCGUCUGUAGGUGGCUUUUUAAGUCCGCCGUCAAAUCCCAGGGCUCAACUCUGGACAGGCGGUGGAAACUACCAAGCUUGAGUACGGUAGGGGCAGGAGGGAAUUCCGGUGGAGCGGUGAAAUGCGCAGAUAUCGGGAGGAACACCAGUAGCGAAGGCGGCACUCUGGGCCGGUACUGACGCUGAGGAGCGAAAGCGUGGGGAGCAAACAGG